rnacentral:misc_RNA from 1 species
UACGGAGGGUGCGAGCGUUAAUCGGAAUUACUGGGCGUAAAGCGCGCGUAGGCGGCUAAGUAAGCCGGUUGUGAAAGCCCCGGGCUCAACCUGGGAAUGGCAUCCGGAACUGUUUAGCUAGAGUGCAGAAGAGGAAAGUAGAAUUCCCGGUGUAGCGGUGAAAUGCGUAGAGAUCGGGAGGAAUACCAGUGGCGAAGGCGGCCGUCUGGUCUGUAACUGACGCUGAGGUGCGAACGCGUGGGGAGCAAACAGG